AGGAGAUAUUGGGCAAGGCGACGUGGGGAGAGCCCAGACACCCGAAGGAAUGAACUGCAAUGCAUCUCAGCUGGGUGGCACCGAGUGAGAGACAGAGGAACCGGAGAGACAGAGCAAGAAUCUGAAGGAGGCUCCGCGCUCACCACAGACCCGGAUGCGACGUGGGGCUUGAUCCCACGACCCUGGGAUCAUGAUCUGAACCGAAAUCAAGAGUCGGAUGCUCCGAGGGGCCCCUGUGCUGUAUGUUUUUAAACCUGACGGUAUUUCAUUUCAAGAAAUAUAUGUAUUUAAUUUUUAAUUGUAGUAAAAUAUACAGUAAUAGAAAAUUGACCAUCUUAA